GUCACAAAGGUUCAUUCCUUUCAGAUAUUGCUAAGUGUCGGAUAGAGCUGGAGCAAGCCAGGUUGUUAGUUCUUGAAGUAGCUGACCAGCUUGACAGGCUUGGAAACAAAAAGGCCCGUGGGACGAUAGCAAUGGCCAAGGUAGCAGCUCCAAACAUGGCAUUGAAGGUGCUUGACAUGGCAAUGCACGGA